rnacentral:rRNA from 1 species
UACAGAGGAUGCAAGCGUUAUCCGGAAUGAUUGGGCGUAAAGCGUCUGUAGGUGGCUUUUAAGUCCGCCGUCAAAUCCCAGGGCUCAACUCUGGACAGGCGGUGGAAACUACCAAGCUGGAGUACAGUAGGGGCAGAGGGAAUUUCCGGUGGAGCGGUGAAAUGCGUAGAGAUCGGAAAGAACACCAACGGCGAAAGCACUCUGCUGGCCGACACUGACACUGAGAGACGAAGCUA